UGGCCGGCAAACAAAU
rnacentral:snoRNA from 1 species